UACGUAGGGGGCAAGCGUUGUCCGGAAUCAUUGGGCGUAAAGCGCGUGUAGGCGGACUUGUAAGUCCGUUCUGAAAGCCCGGGGCUCAACCCCGGGAGGCGGAUGGAUACUGCAAGGCUCGAGUACGGAAGAGGCGAGUGGAAUUCCCGGUGUAGCGGUGAAAUGCGCAGAUAUCAGGAGGAACACCAAUGGCGAAGGCAGCUCACUGGGACGGUAUUGACGCUGAGACGCGAAAGCGUGGGGAGCAAACAGG
rnacentral:rRNA from 1 species